rnacentral:tRNA from 1 species
GCGCUCGUGGUUCAGCUGGAUAGAACGUCUGACUACGAAUCAGAAGGUCGGGGGUUCGAAUCCCUCCGAGCGCA